rnacentral:rRNA from 1 species
CCUACGGGAGGCAGCAGUGAGGAAUAUUGGUCAAUGGACGAGAGCCUGAACCAGCCAAGUCGCGUGAAGGAUGACUGCCCUAUGGGUUGUAAACUUCUUUUAUAAAGGAAUAAAGUGAGGCACGUGUGCCUUUUUGUAUGUACUUUAUGAAUAAGGAUCGGCUAACUCCGUGCCAGCAGCCGCGGUAAUACGGAGGAUCCGAGCGUUAUCCGGAUUUAUUGGGGUUAAAGGGAGCGUAGAUGGGUUGUUAAGUCAGUUGUGAAAGUUUGCGGCUCAACCGUAAAAUUGCAAUUGAUACUGGCAAGCGUGAGUACAGUAGAGGUAGGCGGAAUUCGUGGUGGAGCGGUGAAAUGCUUAGAUAUCACGAAGAACUCCGAUUGCGAAGGCAGCCUACUAGACUGCCACUGACAUUGAUGCUCGAAAGUGUGGGGAUCAAACAGGAUUAGAUACCCGGGUAGUC